UACGUAGGGUGCAAGCGUUAAUCGGAAUUACUGGGCGUAAAGGGCGCGUAGGCGGCCUUCUAAGUCAGACGUGAAAUCCCCCGGCUUAACCUGGGAACUGCGUCUGAUACUGGGAGGCUAGAGUAUGGGAGAGGGAUGUAGAAUUCCAGGUGUAGCGGUGAAAUGCGUAGAUAUCUGGAGGAAUACCGGUGGCGAAGGCGGCAUCCUGGACCAUUACUGACGCUGAGGCGCGAAAGCUAGGGGAGCAAACGGG
rnacentral:rRNA from 1 species